rnacentral:rRNA from 1 species
AAAAUGGAGAGUUUGAUCCUGGCUCAGGAUGAACGCUGGCGGUAUGCUUAACACAUGCAAGUCGAACGGUCUUUUAGGAGACAGUGGCGGACGGGUGAGUAACGCGUAAGAAUCUACCUUCAGGUUGGGGACAACCACUGGAAACGGUGGCUAAUACCGAAUGUGCCGAGAGGUGAAAGGCUUGCUGCCUGAAGAAGAGCUUGCGUCUGAUUAGCUAGUUGGUAGUGUAAGAGACUACCAAGGCGACGAUCAGUAGCUGGUCUGAGAGGAUGAUCAGCCACACUGGGACUGAGACACGGCCCAGACUCCUACGGGAGGCAGCAGUGGGGAAUUUUCCGCAAUGGGCGAAAGCCUGACGGAGCAAUACCGCGUGAGGGAGGAAGGCUCUUGGGUUGUAAACCUCUUUUCUCAGGGAAGAACAGAAUGACGGUACCUGAGGAAUAAGCAUCGGCUAACUCCGUGCCAGCAGCCGCGGUAAUACGG